rnacentral:rRNA from 1 species
GAUGAACGCUGGCGGCGUGCCUAAUACAUGCAAGUCGAGCGAACCGACGAGGAGCUUUCUUCUCUGAUGUUAUCGGCGGACGGAUGCUUAACCCGUGGAUAACCUACCUCUACGACUGGGAUAACUUCGCGGAACAAUAGCUAAUACCGGAUAAUAUUUUGACCCGCGUUGUUCAAGAGUUGAAGACGCUCUUGCUUUCGCUUAUAGAUGGAUCCGCGCUGCAUUAGCUAGUUGGUAAGGUAACGGCUUACCAAGGCAACGAUGCAUAGCCGACCUGAGAGGGGAACCGUAGACACUGGAACAGAGACACGGGCCAGACUGCGACGGGAGGCAGCAGUAGGGAAUCUCCCGAAAUGGGAAAGCCUGACGGAGCAACGCCGCGUGAGUGAUGAAGGUCUUCGGAUCGGAAAACUCUGUUAUUAGUGAAGAACAUAUGUGUAAGUAACUGUGCACAUCUUGACGGUACCUAAUCAGAAAGCCACGGCUAACUACGUG